AGAUGGUUUCGGCUAUCGCUUACAGAUGGGCCCGCGGUGCAUUAGCUAGUUGGUAGGGUAAUGGCCUACCAAGGCAACGAUGCAUAGCCGACCUGAGAGGGUGAUCGGCCACACUGGGACUGAGACACGGCCCAGACUCCUACGGGAGGCAGCAGUAGGGAAUCUUCCGCAAUGGACGAAAGUCUGACGGAGCAACGCCGCGUGUAUGAAGAAGGUUUUCGGAUCGUAAAGUACUGUUGUUAGAGAAGAACAAGGAUAAGAGUAACUGCUUGUCCCUUGACGGUAUCUAACCAGAAAGCCACGGCUAACUACGUGCCAGCAGCCGCGGUAAUACGUAGGUGGCAAGCGUUGUCCGGAUUUAUUGGGCGUAAAGCGCGCGCAGGCGGUCUUUUAAGUCUGAUGUGAAAGCCCCCGGCUUAACCGGGGAGGGUCAUUGGAAACUGGAAGACUGGAGUGCAGAAGAGGAGAGUGGAAUUCCACGUGUAGCGGUGAAAUGCGUAGAUAUGUGGAGGAACACCAGUGGCGAAGGCGACUCUCUGGUCUGUAACUGACGCUGAGGCGCGAAAGCGUGGGGAGCAAACAGGAUU
rnacentral:rRNA from 1 species